rnacentral:lncRNA from 1 species
AAGCAAGCAGGUCUACAUCGUGUACCUGGGGCACCUACCUAGCACGGAUGCGUCGUCAGAGCCUGAAGGUUCCUCUGCUGUAGAGUUUACUCAUCACGACCUGCUGAACCAGGUCCUGGACGAUAUAUAUAAUCCCCAAUGAUGCAUGCAGCCACUCCGAUGAACACACCGCCGGGAAACUCCAACACGACCGCGCUCAAGUACGGCGCCGGCGGGGAAUAAUAACUUCUCCGUGGUCUUCCCGCGCACUGCCACCUAGGUCGGGGCUGCGGCCGCCGUGUAUAUAUGACGUGAUGGUCGUGUUUGAGGCAUAGUUAUUAG